GACGAACGCUGGCGGCGUGCCUAAUACAUGCAAGUAGAACGCUGAAGCUUGGUGCUUGCACCGAGCGGAUGAGUUGCGAACGGGUGAGUAACGCGUAGGUAACCUGCCUGGUAGCGGGGGAUAACUAUUGGAAACGAUAGCUAAUACCGCAUAAAAUGGAUUAUCGCAUGAUAAUCCAUUGAAAGGUGCAAAUGCAUCACUACCAGAUGGACCUGCGUUGUAUUAGCUAGUUGGUGGGGUAACGGCUCACCAAGGCGACGAUACAUAGCCGACCUGAGAGGGUGAUCGGCCACACUGGGACUGAGACACGGCCCAGACUCCUACGGGAGGCAGCAGUAGGGAAUCUUCGGCAAUGGACGGAAGUCUGACCGAGCAACGCCGCGUGAGUGAAGAAGGUUUUCGGAUCGUAAAGCUCUGUUGUAAGAGAAGAACGAGUGUGAGAGUGGAAAGUUCACACUGUGACGGUAUCUUACCAGAAAGGGACGGCUAACUACGUGCCAGCAGCCGCGGUAAUACGUAGGUCCCGAGCGUUGUCCGGAUUUAUUGGGCGUAAAGCGAGCGCAGGCGGUUAGAUAAGUCUGAAGUUAAAGGCUGUGGCUUAACCAUAGUACGCUUUGGAAACUGUUUAACUUGAGUGCAAGAGGGGAGAGUGGAAUUCCAUGUGUAGCGGUGAAAUGCGUAGAUAUAUGGAGGAACACCGGUGGCGAAAGCGGCUCUCUGGCUUGUAACUGACGCUGAGGCUCGAAAGCGUGGGGAGCAAACAGG
rnacentral:rRNA from 1 species